UAGGGAAUCUUCGGCAAUGGGGGGAACCCUGACCGAGCAACGCCGCGUGAGUGAAGAAGGUUUUCGGAUCGUAAAGCUCUGUUGUUAAGGAAGAACGAGUGUGAGAAUGGAAAGUUCAUGCUGUGACGGUACUUAACCAGAAAGGGACGGCUAACUACGUGCCAGCAGCCGCGGUAAUACGUAGGUCCCGAGCGUUGUCCGGAUUUAUUGGGCGUAAAGCGAGCGCAGGCGGUUAGAAAAGUCUGAAGUGAAAGGCAGUGGCUCAACCAUUGUAGGCUUUGGAAACUGUUUAACUUGAGUGCAGAAGGGGAGAGUGGAAUUCCAGGUGUAGCGGUGAAAUGCGUAGAUAUAUGGAGGAACACCAGUGGCGAAGGCGACUCUCUGGUCUGUAACUGACGCUGAGGCUCGAAAGCGUGGGUAGCAAACAGG
rnacentral:rRNA from 1 species